rnacentral:lncRNA from 1 species
UUCUACACUGAGUGCAAUUUGACAUCACAGUUACUGAUCACACUGGUUCCGCUACAGCUUCCGUCUCUGCUGAAAAAAUGUUGCACCUCUCAAUACAAGAAAUUGUCAGGCCAAGGUAUUUCUUAUAUUAAACUUAAAACAGAUAAAACAAUCAUAAUCAAUUACUCACUUCUUCCUUGCAGAACCACCAACAACUUCAUGAACAACUGUGCAACCACCUAGGAGCAGCGACUUACAGAAUUCAAAUGAAAAAACUGUUCUACAGAAACCACGGAACAUCAGCUGCAAAUUUGACUUCUCAAUUAUGAAGAAAAACACAACCCCACCCAAUCAGCACUGAUGGUCACAGCCGAAG